GAUGCAGCGACGCCGCGUGGGGGAUGACGGCCUUCGGGUUGUAAACUCCUUUCGCUAGGGACGAAGCUUUUUGUGACGGUACCUAGAUAAGAAGCACCGGCUAACUACGUGCCAGCAGCCGCGGUAAUACGUAGGGUGCGAGCGUUGUCCGGAAUUACUGGGCGUAAAGGGCUCGUAGGUGGUUUGUCGCGUCGUCUGUGAAAUUCCGGGGCUUAACUCCGGGCGUGCAGGCGAUACGGGCAUAACUUGAGUACUGUAGGGGUAACUGGAAUUCCUGGUGUAGCGGUGAAAUGCGCAGAUAUCAGGAGGAACACCGAUGGCGAAGGCAGGUUACUGGGCAGUUACUGACGCUGAGGAGCGAAAGCAUGGGUAGCGAACAGGAUUAGAUACCCUGGUAGUCCAUGCCGUAAACGGUGGGCGCUAGGUGUGAGGGUCUUUUCACGACUUUCGUGCCGUAGCUAACGCAUUAAGCGCCCCGCCUGGGGAGUACGGCCGCAAGCGUA
rnacentral:rRNA from 1 species